rnacentral:rRNA from 1 species
UACGUAGGGGGCAAGCGUUGUCCGGAAUUAUUGGGCGUAAAGAGCUCGUAGGCGGUUUGUUGCGUCGGCUGUGAAAUCCCGAGGCUCAACCUCGGGUCUGCAGUCGAUACGAGCAAACUAGAGUGUUGCAGGGGAGACUGGAAUUCCUGGUGUAGCGGUGAAAUGCGCAGAUAUCAGGAGGAACACCGGUGGCGAAGGCGGGUCUCUGGGCCGAUGACUGACGCUGAGGAGCGAAAGCGUGGGGAGCGAACAGG